GAAGGGGUGGCCAUGUACCCACACACCAUUAUAACACCACCACCAGCAUGAACCUUGAUACAAAGCAGCAUGGAUGCCUUUCUUCUUAACGUUUCGUAUGAAAUGGAGACUCAUCGGAUCAUGGAAUAUUUUCCAAUUUUGCUACCAUUCAGUGGAUAUUUUCUCUUAUUCUCAGCUGUAAAACUGAAAGAUGACUGCGAGUGAAAUUCCCAGUGGAUCAGCGGUGUCUGAAAACCCAGACCAUUCCAUCUGUCACAAACAACCAUACUAUGAACAAAGUCACUCUUUAUAGACAAAACUGAAAAAAGCAUGUAAUGUUUUGUUUAAUAAUAAAAAUAGACUAAACAAAUAAAUUGAUUUCUUGUACUAUUA